rnacentral:rRNA from 1 species
CCUACGGGUGGCAGCAGUGGGGAAUAUUUCACAAUGGGGGAAACCCUGAUGCAGCAACGCCGCGUGAGUGAAUAAGUAUUUCGGUAUGUAAAGCUCUAUCAGCAGGGAAGAGAAUGACGGUACCUGACUAACAAGCCCCUGCUAACUACGUCCCAGCAGCCGCGGUAAUACGUAGGGGGCAAGCUUUCGCCGGAUUUGCUGGGUGUAAAGGUAGCGUAGACGGCUGGGCAAGUCUGAAGUGAAAGGCCGGGGCUGAACCCCGGAACGGCUUUGGAAACUGGCCGGCUGGAGUGCUGGAGAGGCAGGCGGAAUUCCUGGUGUAGCGGUGAAAUGCGUAGAUAUCAGGAGGAACACCGGUGGCGAAGGCGGCCUGCUGGACAGUAACUGACGUUGAGGCUCGAAAGCGUGGGGAGCAAACAGGAUUAGAUACCCUAGUAGUC